UACAGGGGGUGCAAACGUUGCUCGGAAUCAUUGGGCGUAAAGCGCACGUAGGCGGUUCGUCGCGUCGGCUGUGAAAUCCCGAGGCUCAACCUCGGGUCUGCAGUCGAUACGGGCGGACUGGAGUUCGGCAGGGGAGACUGGAAUUCCUGGUGUAGCGGUGAAAUGCGCAGAUAUCAGGAGGAACACCGGUGGCGAAGGCGGGUCUCUGGGCAGUAACUGACGCUGGAGGAGCGAAAGCGUGGGGAGCGAACAGG
rnacentral:rRNA from 1 species